ACUGUGUGAUGACACCAUCUCUCUGUACAAGGUGAACCGUCAGUUCGGUGCGCCCCUGCACGACACACGACACUUGCUCACUGUCGCCCGACAGCUGAACCUUGACGUCAUUGUGGUCAGCUUCCACGUCGGCAGCAGCUGCCCCGAUGCUGCCGCAUGGAGCGUUGCCAUUCGCAACGCCAAACGCGUCUUCGAAGAGGGCGCUGAGAUUGGCUUCUCCUUCUCGCUGCUGGACAUCGGCGGAGGUUUCCCCGGCGAGCCGACAGCACGCAUACAGUUCGACGACAUCUGUGACGCUGUCAGCGCUGCACUGGAGAAACAUUUUCCUGCCGACAGAGGUGUGCGU